rnacentral:rRNA from 1 species
GACAGAGGGUGCAAACGUUGUUCGGAAUUACUGGCGUAAAGCGCGUGUAGGCGGCCCGGAAAGUUGGAUGUGAAAGCCCUGGGCUUAACCUAGGAAGUGCAUUCAAAACUGCCGGGCUUGAGUUCUGGAGAGGAAGGCGGAAUUCUCGGUGUAGAGGUGAAAUUCGAUAGAUAUCGAGAGGAACACCGGUGGCGAAGGCGGCCUUACUGGACAGUGACUGACGCUGAGACGCGAAAGCGUGGGGAGCAAACAGGG